AUGAUGCGGGGGACGAAGCUUCCGUGCUCGCCGGAGGCAGGGCCGAGGUGUGGAGGACAGGAGGAGCACGGCCCCGACAUCCGCAAUGAUGGAUUGGUUGCUGCUUCUUCAAGGGUUAAGAGAAUGAAGGUCUCGCACUGCCGGCAAAAUUGUUCGUCAACUGACGAUGCAAAUGGCCAGACAAAGACAGGGGCCUCACCCUGCCAACAAGGCGAUACCACUCAGACAGAGCAGUGUUCAGAGCCAUAUCUUCCCGAGGACAUCUGGCAUCAUAUACAUUCCUUGAUGCCACUGAAAGAUGCUGCCAGAGCUGCCUGUGUGUCUCAGUCCUUCCUGUCUUCCUGGAGAUGCCGUUCCAACCUCGUUCUUAGUAGGGAAUCAUUUGGCUUGGGUCAAGGUGAUAAGGAAACAGCUAGAGAUUUUAGAAGAAAAAUUGACCAUAUUCUGAGAAACCACUCAGGAACUGGCGUGAGAAAACUCAACCUUUGGUUGGUUCCAAAUUACAAUGCGAAGAACUGUGGUUACGUUGACAAAUGGCUUGAGAAGGCAGUUACACCAGGGAUUGAAGAACUCACCCUUAGUAUGCCUAUAAACAACAAAUCCAAAUACGAGUUUCCAUGCACGGUUUUAUCAAAUGGGAGGGGGGACUCGCUUCGGUGUCUUUGCCUUACCAAUUGUUCUUUUCAUCCUAUAGCCUUGCUUGGUUGUUUGAGAAGCUUGACCAAAUUAGAGCUGUUUAUGGUGCGUAUUCCAGGGGAUGAGCUAUGCUGCCUUCUUUCUAGUUCUUCAGCUUUAGAGUGGCUUUCACUUAGGUAUUGCAGUAAGGUAAACUGCUUGAAGAUACCAUGUCACCUUCAGCAUCUAAGGCACGUGAAGGUGGAAGAUUGCAGCAUGCGAAUGAUAGAGAGCAAAGCUCCAAAUCUCUCCAGCUUUCAGUUUAAAGGUGACCUCAAGGUACAAGUCUCACUUGGAAAAGCAUUGCAAGUGAAGAGCUUAUACAUGAGGAGCACCGUAUUUGGUUGUGACACUCGAGCAGAGCUGGCGUCCAGCAUGCCAAGCAGGGAGGUGGUCAAUUCACCAAUUGUGUCUAGCAAACUCACCGACCUGAAAUCUAUGAUCAUCUGUCUUGGAGAAAUGGCCUUUUGCCUGAGCUUUGAUUGUCAGUCUAUGUUUUCUAUCCUUGGUGCUUCUCUUACGUUGGAGACUUUCAUCUCACGUGUAUCUGAUGAACUCAUGCAGCAUGCCUUAGUUUUCGGAGAUCCCUCAAGAUCGUGGAUGUUGGACAUGAGUGGCGGCGGCGUGUCCCCAUUGAAUAAGAGUCUGAUUAAGCUAGCGUGUCAUAUCCUCAGGGCCUGGUUGAUUUAA
rnacentral:rRNA from 1 species